UUGACCUCAAAUCGGGUGAGACUACCCGCUGAACUUAAGCAUAUCAAUAAGCGGAGGAAAAGAAACUAACAAGGAUUCCCCUAGUAACUGCGAGUGAAGCGGGAAAAGCUCAAAUUUAAAAUCUGGUGGCCUCUGGUCACCCGAGUUGUAAUUUAGAGAAGCGUCUUCCGCGCUGGACCAUGCACAAGUCUCCUGGAAUGGAGCGUCAUAGAGGGUGAGAAUCCCGUCUUUGGCAUGGAUGCACCAGGGCUUUUGUGAUGCGCUCUCGAAGAGUCGAGUUGUUUGGGAAUGCAGCUCAAAAUGGGUGGUGAACUCCAUCUAAAGCUAAAUAUUGGCGAGAGACCGAUAGCGAACAAGUACCGUGAGGGAAAGAUGAAAAGCACUUUGGAAAGAGAGUGAAACAGUACGUGAAAUUGUUGAAAGGGAAACGCUUGAAGUCAGUCGCGUCGACCGAGACUCAGCCUCGCCUUGGCUUGGUGUACUUCUCRGCCGACGGGUCAGUGUCAAUUUUGCCCCUCGGAUAAUGGCAAGGGAAAGGUAGCACCUUUAUGGGUGUGUUAUAGUCUCUCGUCGCAUGCGAGGGUCGGGAUUGAGGAACUCAGCACGCGCCUCUUGGCGUCGGGGCCUUUUGGCCCACGCUACGUGCUUAGGAUGCUGGCGUAAUGGCUUUAAACGACCCGUCUUGAAACACGGACCAAGGAGUCUAACAUGCCCGCGAGUGUUCGGGUGGAAAACCCGUGCGCGUAAUGAAAGUGAAAGUUGGGACCCCUGUCGUGGGGGGCACCGACGCCCGGACCAGACCUUCUGUGACGGAUCUGCGGUAGAGUGUGCAUGUUGGGACCCGAAAGAUGGUGAACUAUGCCUGAAUAGGGUGAAGCCAGAGGAAACUCUGGUGGAGGCUCGUAGCGAUUCUGACGUGCAAAUCGAUYGUCAAAUUUGGGUAUAGGGGCGAAAGACUAAUCGAACCAUCUAGUAGCUGGUUCCUGC
rnacentral:rRNA from 1 species